AUGAGAUUUAAAGACUUUGAAAUAUGUCUUUAAAAUCAAAAAUAUAUUUCUCUUAUGAGAAUAUAUAAAGCACAUGUCAAUAUAUUUUUAGACAGUGCAAAAUAAUUGGAAGGUCUAGAUGAGAAAUCCUCUCGACUUCCAAAUGCAUCAGAUUCAUAAUAAUCGAUGCUUCGUGUUCUCCAAAGUCUCAAAGAAACUCGUGUAGUUUCAAAGAAAUUGAUCUUUAUAAUUAUUAUAUUGAGACUAUAAAUUAAUGUGGUAUCGAAUGUCCGACCACAAUGGAGACACACAAAUGUAUGAUUAUAUCAUGCAAAAUAAAGAUGGUAAAAAUAUUUAUGCUAGUAAACAGAAGUUUGCUAAUUGCUAUUGCAUAGUAUAACCGGUUAAGCCAUCCCGGUAGAAAAAUGCAAUUAAAAAUAAUGAUCCAGAUCCAAGAUCCGUAUCAGUGCCAGCAAAGGCCUGAUUGAAAAAACAAAAGUGCAAUAUAUUGAAUUGCUCUUCCUUAAUAAAAGAGAUGUCUUUGGACCUCUUGCCACUACAUCUAAAGAUGUAAAACCUGUUAUGUGCUAGUGGGUCUUCGUGCGUAAAAGUUGAAAUCACACGAUAUAAAGUCCGACUUGUUACACAAGGUUUUUCUCAAAGACUUGGAGUUGAUUAUGAAGAAACAUAUUCUCCAGUCAUAGAUGCAAUUACAUUCAGGUACACAACGAGCCUAACAGUCUCUUAUCAUUUAGAAUUGUACCUUAUGGAUGUAGUGACAACAUGUUUAUAUGGAUCGUUGGAUUUAAUAUAUACAUAAAAAUCCUAGAAGGAUUUAAAGUUCCUGAGCCAUUAGACUCAAAGUCUAAUGAAAUAUGUACGGUCAAAUUACAGCGAUCACUUUACGUAUUAAAAUAAUCCGGACGCAUAUGAUAUAUUGCUUAAGCGAUCAUUUCUUAAACAAAGAGUAUGUUUAUAAUGAAAUAUGUUCUUGCGUCUUUAUUAAGAAAUUUCCAUCAAGAUUUGUGAUCAUUGCUCUAUAUGUUGAUGACCUAAAUUGGAACUUAAAAAGAGUGAUUAAAUAUCACUAAAAUUUUAUAUAAACACGUUAUAUAAACAAAGAGAAUGCUAUUCAAGCACUGCAUGCUUCCGUCCACAUUUCAGAGGUAACAUUUAAUUUAUGUUGAAUUUAUUUAAAUUCAUUUAAAUUUAAAUUUAAUAUUAUAUACGGAGUUGAAGGUUAUAUAUCUCCUCCUCCUUAAUUCUGUAGUAGGCUAAGCCUCCAGAAACAUAUGAUUUUUGGCCAAAUCACCAUUUUUCUUUGAUAAGCUCAUUAAUGGUCGAUUCCCGUAAUAUUUCUCCAAAUUAAACCCCGUGUAUAACCGGUCUAAAAAAAAAUAGAUUCGGGCCAAGAUAAAUAGGUUUGAAAAGCCAUCAUCUUGGGAGGGGUUAUUACAAGUCCCAUAUUUUUAUAAGGAUCUAAAAAUAAAUACAUGAUCCAUAUUGGAUAUGUUAUUGAUCCUAAAGUGGGAUUCAGUUCGAGAUGAAUGAACUCGAAGAGUUAUCAUCUCGAGGGGGAGAAUUAAAGGAAUCCCACAUCGACAAUAAGUCGGUAAAUUUUGGUGAGUUUGACACCCAGAGCGAAAUAACUCUGGUGAAGUCAUAUCCUAAAAUUUAUCGCUUUUUGAUAAAGUGGAACAUCUAAAAAUGAUGUUCACUCUCAAAAUGAGCUUUAAGCGAAUCGUUCAUAGCGCAAAUCCAAGAGAUUGCAAAACGAUUCAUGGUGAUUUAGUCUCUAUGUUUUUUACAUGGAGCAUGCAGUUUUGCAUGUAUUAAUGAUUAUAUACAAGGCCAACGAUUUAUAAGAAAUAUUUCUCCAAUGUUAUAUAUACAUGAUUGGAGAUCAAAUAUUUCUCAUUUUGAAUUUUAUGGGUGUGAGAUAUAUAUAAAUGCUCCUCUGCACCGCAUAAAAAUUAACAUCCUAAAAGGAUGAAAUAUAUAGACGCUAGAGAUGAGUCUCUGCUCUAUAAUAUUGAGCCAUCUUAUGAGAGAUGUGCCUAUUGCAAGAUAAUUGCAAAUCAAAUGCAACAAGCUGAUGGAUGAGAUUUCAUGAAAUUAUUGAUCCUCGUAUAAAUACAUAUGAACUUAAAGUUCAUAGGAAAUCUCUUGUCCUAGCUAAAAAUGCUCUACAAAAUUAUGUCUCUGGCGGAUGACAUAUUAUUGUCUAUAACACGAUAAAAACGUGAUAGACAACUUUGGUUCCAAAUAUAAAGAAAAUCUUCGAAAAAAAGAGAGCAUAUUAUUACUAAAAAGAGGAUUAUACUCUUAAAAGAGGAGCGUAUAGACUUCUAAAGAGAAGCAUAGAGACUCCUCAAGCGGAGCAAAGAGACUCCUAAAGAGGAGUAAAAAGAGACCGAUUGGCAUGGUUAAAGACGAAAUCAGGUACCUGAAUAAGAUCAUUUGUAAUGAUCAAGAGAUAUCGAUUAACCAUGUCAUUACGGCAAAUAUGGAACCAAAGACAACACAAUGUCGACAAGAAAAAUGAUCUAGCGCACAAAUAAAAUUAAUGAGGAUCAUAAAUCUCCGCUCUGUGAGCGUAAAGAGAUAUAUAUUGGCCAAUAAACAAAGAGACAGCCAAGUCUAUAUUAAUUUCGUAUUAGAAACGAGUAAUUCCUGGACACAUGGUCCAAGCAUCAAAAGAGUAUUAUAAUACUUAAGACAAAAUGGUGUGUCGCGCCGGGUUUUGUCAAAAUCACUCGAUAUUGAGUUGAUAAAUAAAUGACUUGAAUUGCGUCUCUUGGGAUGUCUGUAGGACUAAUCCCCGAAAAAUAUUUGAUAUCAUAGUUAUAUUCCCGGGAACUUAUAAGCAUGAUGUUUUUGAACAUCAUCAAAACUCUUUAAGAGUUAUUUGGAAUAAAAGAUCUUGGAAAGACAAAAGUGUCUCAAGAUAUUCCAACUAAACAUCCAAAGAAAGAGAUGUUAUAUUAGCCACUUCUAAAAGAAGUCGACUCUAUAUAGUUUGAUCAUGAAGCACUAUAUAUAAAUGCUGACGAGUAUUUAUAUAUUUUGUGAAUUGUAGCUAGCAUAUAUAAAUGCUGACGAGCAUUUAUAUAUCUAGUGAAUAUAUUGUACCUAGCAUUUGCUACUGAUCUACUUGCAGGAUUAAUUCAUUUUCUCCGACAAGACCUUUGAAAUGAGUUCAAAUGUGUCUUCCACUAUCUGCAAGAUGGAGGAUCUAUAUCAGAUCUAUAUAAAUAUAUAUCGCAAAACAACAACUACGUGACGUUUCCAACAACCAAUUUUGGUCGCCGCUUGCUCAAGCCAUGCCAAAAUUAUUGCGCUCCAUGAAGCAUGUCGAGAAUUUGUAUGGCUCAGAUUGAUGCCUCAUCAUAUACAAGAAGCAAGCAAUAUAGGCACCAAUGAAGAGCCAACAACAAGUCACUGCUACAAAUAUUUUCCAACUCAAAGGAACCUAUGUCAAUAGCGAGAUGACAAGACAUAUUUCUUCAAGAUUCUUCUCUUGCACCCAAGAGUCUGAGAAGAAGCAAGAAGUUGAUGUCCAGUACAUCCAGCCAAGUAAUAGUGUAGCAGUUUUUGUUCAAAGACGCUGCCUGCUACGCCAUUCAAAAUUCAUCUUUUGAAGAAGAUGCUUUCAGGGGGAGACAUAUGAUGAUGAGCGUGGCUGCACUCUUUUUCCCUUAUCAUGGUUUUUAUCCCACUGGGUUUUUCCAUGACAAGGUUUUUAACGAGGCAGCAAAUUAAAUAACACGCAAAAGAUAGACAUCGAAGUGAAGGUCUAUCUCUCUUCAAAAUCUUUGUUAUAUAUUGACGAGAUCAAAAAGAGCGAAGAGAAUGUUCGAGAUGCAUCAUCUACGAAACCUAUAAAGAAAACAAGACUCGUCUAUUCUAGGGGGAGAUUGCGUCACUGUACUCUUUUUUCCUUUAUCAUGGGUUUUCUCCUAUACGAUUUUCCCAUAAUAAGGUUUUUAACGAGGCAGUACGCAAUAAAUCGAUAGUGAUGGAUACUCAAAGGGGAGUGUUAUAAAUAGAUAUUUAUUAUGAUGAUUAUCCAUUACAUCUUCUCCUCACGUCACUUGGUCCCCAAGUUAAGUAGUUAAAGUUUAUCUUCAUUAUAGUUUAUCCAUUCAUAAAUAUUAGCUUAGGCUCCAAGUUUUGUUGUACUAUAUAUACUUCUCAUUUGAGAAGUUGAAGCAACACACGUAGAAAGAAGAAAACGAGAUAAUAAAGAAAGAUCACGUCUCCUUCCUCCUCUCUACUACUUUAAUAUUUUCUUAUUUCAGUAUUUUUAUUGAACACAUCUUUAUUUUUCCUUAUAUUCGAUGGAUUUUUACUACUCCAUAUCCAAUGGGUCUUCACAUUAUUCAAAAUAUUUUUUGUUAAAACGAUUAGUAUUUCUUAUUUGAUAUAAUUCUAUGAUAACAUAUUUUGUAAUAACUAUCAAAUUUACUUUUAUUUUUUUACAUUUAACUAUUGAAGAAUCCAUGGGUGAGAUAGGAUAGGAUUUAGGAAUCUAUUUACCAUAAACGAUAAGUUAUUAAGAAAUAAUGGGCCUUAUUCUCAACCAACUUGGGGCAAGUAGUCAAGAUUAACCAAGACGGAUCCCCUCGCACGCAAAAGCUCGUCAUAGAAAUAUAAUUAUUUUCCAUGUUUAGUAGCACAUUAUGUUCUUUAUUUGUUAGUUGUUGAUGCGUUGUCGAAAUCUUUUUCUAAACGAAUUUAAUUUCAAUUAAUUUAUAUAGUUUUCACUUUUUAUGAACGUGACUUCCAUACUUUUUUCUCCCACAAAACUUGCUAAUCCAUAUCUAAAACCUCACUAUAAAUUAGGACUUUCAAUGAAAGAGCAUAUAGAUAUGGAUGCAAGAUCGGGAUACGUGAUCGAAUAUUAAUUUGAAAAACUUAAUUAAUAGGUGAGGAAAAUUUUAAAACCUUAUCAUAUAUGUAUGUGGGUCAUACAUGUGAAAGGGUUCUAACUUCUAACGAUAAAACCUUAAAGUAAUGCCUCCGAAAAAUGAAAAUCGUAAAUUUCAAAAGGAUUUGACAUUUGGUGAUGCAAAUGGCCAAAACCCAAAACAACACAAAAACAGAAAACCUUAUCUCUUUUGUGGUCUCAUCAGACAUCACAUGUGGUGUCAUAAAAUUGUUGUGGCUUGUGGGUCAAGAGUCCUUUCACAUCCCAACACCUAUUUCUUUGUCACAAAAAACCUAAUAAAUUUGUUUUUUGCUUUGCUUUUUGUUAGAUAAAUCAUAAAGUGCAUGAAUGUGAAUGUAAAUAAUCAUAGCCUGACAUCAUAAUCCAAAGACAUUAUCCGAUCGUUUCUCUUUAGCUUUAUCUUUAUUUCCUAAAAUAUAGAUACACAUUCGGAUAAUAACAUGUUGACAAAAUUGAUAGCAACAUCAACAUAGAUAAGUAAGCUAAAAACCUUAGCAUUUUGGAUACUUUUUGUUUAAAGAAAAAACAUUUUUAAUAAAUUAAUGAGAUAAAUAGUAGUUGCUUAGUUCGUGAUGAGCUGUUAUCGAGUGGAUGAGAAAUUGAUAGCCCCCAUUAUUGUUUUUAUCUGAAAUUUCUAUUUUAAUACGAUUUGAAAGAGAAUCAACUAAGUCUUUUUUUUCUUUUUUUUGGUUGAUCAAGUAUUUGGCAGUUUUCUUUGAAAAGAAAAUAAGAUCUCUCAAAGAUAAAAAAUAGGAUCUGAUGUUCUCAAAGACGUCUCAAGAAUUCAUGUUUGAUGAAGUUGAAGAAGAUUUGCCAAUACGAAUACUCGCGAGUCGCCACGGUUCACUAGUCGACGAACCACCACUACAAAUAGAAUGAGUAAUUAUUGUAUGUUGUAAUAACUUGAAACCGAAAAGUCUUCGAUCGAUGAUCAUGUAUUAGAAUAUCUAUUUUUUAUUUUUUA